rnacentral:rRNA from 1 species
AACGAACGCUGGCGGCAUGCCUAACACAUGCAAGUCGAACGAGACCUUCGGGUCUAGUGGCGCACGGGUGCGUCACGCGUGGGAACCUGCCCUUAGGUUCGGAAUAACUCCCCGAAAGGGGUGCUAAUACCGGAUAAUGUCUUCGGACCAAAGAUUUAUCGCCUUUGGAUGGGCCCGCGUUGGAUUAGCUAGUUGGUAGGGUAAAAGCCUACCACGGCGACGAUCCAUAGCUGGUCUGAGAGAAUGAUCAGCCACACUGGGACUGAGACACGGCCCAGACUCCUACGGGAGGCAGCAGUGGGGAAUAUUGGAAAAUGGGCGAAAGGCUGAUCCAGCAAGGCCGCGUGAGUGAUGAAGGCCGUAGGGUUGUAAAGCUCUUUUACCCGGGAUGAUAAUGACAGUACCGGGAGAAUAAGCUCCGGCUAACUCCGUG